rnacentral:rRNA from 1 species
UGAACGCUGGCGGCGUGCUUAACACAUGCAAGUCGAACGGGAUCCAUCAGGCUUUGCUUGGUGGUGAGAGUGGCGAACGGGUGAGUAAUGCGUGACCGACCUGCCCCAUACACCGGAAUAGCUCCUGGAAACGGGUGGUAAUGCCGGAUGCUCCGACUCCUCGCAUGGGGUGUCGGGAAAGAUUUCAUCGGUAUGGGAUGGGGUCGCGUCCUAUCAGGUAGUCGGCGGGGUAACGGCCCACCGAGCCUACNACGGGUAGCCGGCCUGAGAGGGCGACCGGCCACAUUGGGACUGANAUACGGCCCANACUCCUACGGGAGGCAGCAGUGGGGAAUAUUGCACAAUGGGCGCAAGCCUGAUGCAGCGACGCCGCGUGCGGGAUGACGGCCUUCGGGUUGUAAACCGCUUUUGAUCGGGAGCAAGCCUUCGGGUGAGUGUACCUUUCGAAUAAGCACCGGCUAACUACGUGCCAGCAGCCGCGGUAAUACGUAGGGUGCAAGCGUUAUCCGGAAUUAUUGGGCGUAAAGGGCUCGUAGGCGGUUCGUCGCGUCCGGUGUGAAAGUCCAUCGCUUAACGGUGGAUCUGCGCCGGGUACGGGCGG